rnacentral:tRNA from 1 species
AAAUAAGUAAGCUAAAUUAAGCUUUUAGACUCAUACUCUAAAUAUAAAUGAUCAUACAUUUCUUAUUUA